AAAAAGGGGUCUCGUAGGUGACCUGCGGAGGGAUCAUUACACAAAUAUGAAGGCGGGCUGGAACCUCUCGGGGUUACAGCCUUGCUGAAUUAUUCACCCUUGUCUUUUGCGUACUUCUUGUUUCCUUGGUGGGUUCGCCCACCACUAGGACAAACAUAAACCUUUUGUAAUUGCAAUCAGCGUCAGUAACAAAUUAAUAAUUACAACUUUCAACAACGGAUCUCUUGGUUCUGGCAUCGAUGAAGAACGCAGCGAAAUGCGAUAAGUAGUGUGAAUUGCAGAAUUCAGUGAAUCAUCGAAUCUUUGAACGCACAUUGCGCCCUUUGGUAUUCCAAAGGGCAUGCCUGUUCGAGCGUCAUUUGUACCCUCAAGCUUUGCUUGGUGUUGGGCGUCUUGUCUCUAGCUUUGCUGGAGACUCGCCUUAAAGUAAUUGGCAGCCGGCCUACUGGUUUCGGAGCGCAGCACAAGUCGCACUCUCUAUCAGCAAAGGUCUAGCAUCCAUUAAGCCUUUUUUUCAACUUUUGACCUCGGAUCAGGUAGGGAUACCCGCUGAACU
rnacentral:rRNA from 1 species